ensembl:lncRNA
UUUUAACAGCCAUUAAAAUAGCAUUUACCACUAAACCAGCGGACCAACAUGGUGAAAGUAAGGCAAUAGGGAGGCGCUCCCUGUACACAGCACGGACAUGGUUUUUAUUAAAGGAUGAGGUGAGAGGCGCUUGAUAACGCUCCUCCCUACACAAAACGGGCUGUAAGGUUGGACAUUAAGGGUAGGCAGGUAGCCUAGUGGUUAGAGUCUAGGGGCGGCAGGUAGCCUAGUGGUUAGAGUGUAGGGGAGGCAGGUAGCCUAGUGGUUAGAGUGUAGGGGUGGCAGGUAGCCUAGUGGUUAGAGUGUAGAGGUGGCAGGUAGCCUAGUGGUUAGAGUGUAGAGGCAGCAGGUAGCCUAGUGGUUAGAGUGUAG